GGGCUGAUAGUGAUAACUGGGAACACUUCAGAUUUGCAAUCUGAAAAUACGGGUUCGACCCCCGUUCGGUCCA
rnacentral:tRNA from 1 species